GGCUUGUUACCACAUCAAGGUUCAGGAACAAUGGACCCAGAGCGGAUAUCCUCCACAUAGACAGUUCCUUAUCAGUUGCUGUUUUGUGUGGGAGCACAUUUGCGUGAACUUAAGGUGAACGUUUGGGCUUUCUCAGCAGUCGGGAGACAAUUUUGUAAAGUGCUUCUUUUAAUUCCCCUUACAAACCUUUGUGAACUGCCUUCAUUGGCAACUAGAACGUUUUAAACAGUUUCUUAAAUGGCCUAAACUCUCAGAUGAAAAGAGAUGAAGGCUGUUUUUCUAGAGCAUCCACAAGAAAGUAACUUCAUGAGGAAGAAGAAAAGAACAAGAGAAGUUGAAUUACUUGGGGUUCACUGGUGCCACCAGCACCCCUUCAUGUUGUUUUCCAUGACACUCUUUUAAUCAGCUCUCUGCUCUCCUUUUAUGAAGUCAUAAAUCAUUAUCUGACUGCAUUGAAAUAAUUUCACAGUCUCUCUGCUUUGUAUCCAUAGCAGCUGGUCAAUAAACUGCAACUUAAACACA